GUAAAUUUAAGUAAGCAUAAAAAGAAACAGAAAACCGUAUCCACCACCUUUAUUUCAUUUUAACAUAAGCAAAUCCACAUGCAUUAAUAAAUGUAAAAUGUAAAUUAAGAAGAAAAUAGCAAUACUUAAAGCUUCAAAUUAAUGUUUUCCCUCUUUCUACAAAUUCCUGAUCCCACAAAAUACAGAAAACUUGAAAUAUAUUUACUCAACAACAGAUUAACAAGGAAAGAAAAAAAUUUUGUAGAUCUCUUGACACGACUUUUCUCUUUCUCAAUUUUGACUAUUUUUUUUUUCACUCAACCUCUCCUCUUCUCGUUCUCUAAUCUCACUACUCACUCAAGUUGCCUCUUCUCUUCUCGUUCUUUAAUCUCACUGCACCAUUCAAGCUGCUUUAUCCUUUUUCAGGAUUUAUUUCUCAAAACAAUUACUUGUUUUUUCUUUGGUUUUGACUCCCUUUUGUAGCCAACGCUAAUCACCAACUUUAAACUAGAUUGACACUCAUUCUUUCUUCAUGCUACUCUUUCGUUCUAUCGUGCAAUCACCAGAUUCACCUAUUUUAAAUUUCUUCUUCCUUCAAGCUGCGUCAAGUCAUCAUCAACAUCGCACAUCAUAAUCAUUGUAUGCACUUCUCCUUUCUUCUCUUUGCUUCAAGUUCUAACAAAUCUCCAAGCCUAAAUAACUGAAAUCUUGCACAAAAUGUAAAGAAAACAAGAUAAAAUGUUACCUGAAAGGAAUGCAGAAUGAGAGAAUAAGAACCCUAGCCGACUUCUUUUGUUUUUAGAAUAAGAAAAAAAAAAAAAGGAACAAAUGUAUCUCUUUGCUAUUUA
rnacentral:lncRNA from 1 species